AGCGAACGCUGGCGGCAGGCUUAACACAUGCAAGUCGAGCGGGCACUUUCGGGUGUCAGCGGCGGACGGGUGAGUAACGCGUGGGAACGUGCCCUCUGGUUCGGAAUAACUCAGGGAAACUUGAGCUAAUACCGGAUACGCCCUUUUGGGGAAAGGCUUGCUGCCGGAGGAUCGGCCCGCGUCUGAUUAGCUAGUUGGCGAGGUAACGGCUCACCAAGGCGACGAUCAGUAGCUGGUCUGAGAGGAUGAUCAGCCACACUGGGACUGAGACACGGCCCAGACUCCUACGGGAGGCAGCAGUGGGGAAUAUUGGACAAUGGGCGCAAGCCUGAUCCAGCCAUGCCGCGUGAGUGAUGAAGGCCUUAGGGUUGUAAAGCUCUUUUAUCCGGGACGAUAAUGGCGGUACCGGAGGAAUAAGCCCCGGCUAACUUCGUG
rnacentral:rRNA from 1 species